rnacentral:misc_RNA from 1 species
AAGUCGUAACAAGGUCUCCGUAGGUGAACCUGCGGAGGGAUCAUUAACACGUUUUAAAACACGUUUUAACUACCAACCAACCACGUGAACUAUUUAAACCUCCUGGAAGCGAAAGAAUUCUGUCUCCUCUCCCUAAUGAUGAGCUUCUCUCUCUUUUGAGAGAAGCAGAGAGUUUAGACUAGCAUUGCAGUUAAGAGCUGACUUGUAAAGACCUUUCAAUGCUUUUGGGCUAAAUGCUCCUAUCAUCAUUCGAGCGAACAACACCAACCACUUUCACCACUUCUAUAACUAUUGACUGAUCUUUUUCUUUGCAACAUAAGAAAAAACUAAUCAAAUAUCUAAGCACAACUCUUAGCAACGGAUAUCUUGGUUCUC